UACGUAGGGUGCGAGCGUUAAUCGGAAUUACUGGGCGUAAAGCGUGCGCAGGCGGUGAUGUAAGACAGGUGUGAAAUCCCCGGGCUUAACCUGGGAACUGCAUUUGUGGACUGCAUCGCUGGAGUACGGCAGAGGGGGAUGGAAUUCCGCGUGUAGCAGUGAAAUGCGUAGAUAUGCGGAGGAACACCGAUGGCGAAGGCAAUCCCCUGGGCCUGUACUGACGCUCAUGCACGAAAGCGUGGGGAGCAAACAGG
rnacentral:rRNA from 1 species